rnacentral:tRNA from 1 species
CUGUAGCUCAGUUGGAUAGAGUGCUUGACUACGAAUCAAGAGGCCGGGGGUUCAAAUCCUCCCAG